UCUCCGUAGGUGAACCUGCGGAGGGAUCAUUACUGAGUGAGGGCUCACGCCCGACCUCCAACCCUUUGUGAACACAUCUUGUUGCUUCGGGGGUGACCCUGCCGGCACUCGGUCGCCGGGCGCCCCCGAAGGUCCCCCAACACUGCAUCUUUGCGUCGGAGUUUAAAACAAAUUAAACAAAACUUUCAACAACGGAUCUCGUGGGUCUGGCAUCGAUGAAGAACGCAGC
rnacentral:misc_RNA from 1 species